rnacentral:misc_RNA from 1 species
UACAGAGGGUGCGAGCGUUAAUCGGAUUUACUGGGCGUAAAGCGCGCGUAGGCGGCUUGAUAAGCAGGAUGUGAAAGCCCUGGGCUUAACCUAGGAAUGGCAUUCUGAACUGUCUGACUGGAGUAUGGUAGAGGGGUGUGGAAUUUCCUGUGUAGCGGUGAAAUGCGUAGAUAUAGGAAGGAACACCAGUGGCGAAGGCGACACCCUGGACCAAUACUGACGCUGAGGUGCGAAAGCGUGGGGAGCAAACAGG